GACGAACGCUGGCGGCGUGCUUAACACAUGCAAGUCGAACGGCAAGGCCCUGCUUUUGUGGGGUGCUCGAGUGGCGAACGGGUGAGUAACACGUGAGUAACCUGCCCUUGACUUUGGGAUAACUUCAGGAAACUGGGGCUAAUACCGGAUAGGAGCUCCUGCUGCAGGGUGGGGGUUGGAAAGUUUCGGCGGUUGGGGAUGGACUCGCGGCUUAUCAGCUUGUUGGUGGGGUAGUGGCUUACCAAGGCAUUGACGGGUAGCCGGCCUGAGAGGGUGACCGGCCACAUUGGGACUGAGAUACGGCCCAGACUGCUACGGGAGACAGCAGUGGGAAAUAUUGCACAAUGGGCGGAAGCCUGAUGCAGCAACGCCGCGUGCGGGAUGACGGUCUUCGGGUUGUAAACCGCUUUAGCCUGUGACGAAGCGUGAGUGACGGUAAUGGGUAAAGAAGCACCGGCUAACUACGUG
rnacentral:rRNA from 1 species